rnacentral:rRNA from 1 species
UACGGAGGGAGCUAGCGUUGUUCGGAAUUACUGGGCGUAAAGCGUACGUAGGCGGUUAUUCAAGUCAGAGGUGAAAGCCCGGGCUCAACCCCGGAACUGCCUUUGAAACUAGAUAGCUAGAAUCUUGGAGAGGUCAGUGGAAUUCCGAGUGUAGAGGUGAAAUUCGUAGAUAUUCGGAAGAACACCAGUGGCGAAGGCGACUGACUGGACAAGCAUUGACGCUGAGGUACGAAAGCGUGGGGAGCAAACAGG